GUCCUUUUGUUUUAUAUUUAAGGUUUAACCUGCCCACUGAAUAAUUUAAAUGGCCGCAGUAUUUUAACUGUGCAAAGGUAGCAUAAUCAUUAGUUUUUUAAUUAAAAGCUUGUAUGAAAGGUUGGACGAGGUAAAAACUGUCUUUAUUUAAUUAAUUAUAAAAUUUAAUUUUUAAGUUAAAAAGCUUAAAUUUUUUUAAAAGACGAGAAGACCCUAUAGAUCUUUAUAUUUAUUAUUUUAUUUUUAAUUAAGAUUUAUUUAAAUUUUAUUAUAUUAAAUAUUUUAUUGGGGUAAUAAGAAGAUUAAAAAAAUUCUUUUUUAUAUUAUUCAUUGAUUAAUGUUUUAAUGAUCCAAUUUUAUUGAUUAUAAGAUUAAGUUACCUUAGGGAUAACAGCGUAAUUUUUUUAGAGAGUUCAUAUCGAUAAGAAAGUUUGCGACCUCGAUGUUGGAUUAAAGAUUAAUUUAGGUGUAGACGUUUAAAUUUUUGGUCUGUUCGACCAUUGAAUCUUUACAUGAUCUGAGUUCAGACCGGUGUAAGCCAGGUCGGUUUCUAUCUUUAAUAAUUUAAUAUAUUUUAGUACGAAAGGACCAAAUAUAUAAUAUAUAAAUAUUUAACAAUUUUGAAUAUUAUUAAUUAUUUUGGCAGAUUAGUGCAAUGAAUUUAGAAUUCAUAUAUGUAAAUUUUUACAAGUAAUACUUGUUUUAUAUAGAUAUAAU
rnacentral:rRNA from 1 species